rnacentral:sRNA from 2 species
AAUUGAAUACAGCCGAAUUUCGUGAAUACGAAAGCGGGGGACCCGAUCAUUGGGGUGAAUUUUGCGCCGAUCCGCGUUAAGGAUCGACGCAAAUAGGGCGGCCUGGACGCGCCCGAAUCCGUCAGCUAACCUCGUAGGCAUUGAACGUCAGGAUAC